UGACUUAUAUCUAAAUGCUUAGCCCUUGAUCAGUUACAGGACACAGACAUCAACCUGGAGCUGAUCUGUAAGUCCCGUGUGCACUGGUUACGUCCUUGGUAACUAUGAAGGUCUCUGCAGGCUGCUGAGAAAAUACAACUCUGGUGUCACUCAGAUGGUGCCUGUCAUUUGUGUCCUUGCAUGGAUGGAAGAAAGGGUUCUCUGAGGGGACUUCUUUUAACAGCAUUCAUUCUAUUCUUGGGUGUUUUGUCAUGUGACCCAAUCAACCCUACUCCCUAAAAGCAUCACGUUAAGAGCUGAAAUUGCAACACUUGGAUUUGGGAAAGAAAAAAAAAAAAACAAAACAAAACAGAAAUAUUUAGACCAUUGCAUGACAUGCCAGGGAACAGGGAGGAGAAAGUAUUGUCGAGAACAGAUUGGAAGGAGGUUUGGGUAAUUCAUUGUUGAGAAAAAACUUAGGAUAUAUAGAGCACAGGGGAGUUUGUUGAAAAUAAAAUAUUUUAAAACACAAAGCAACUGGUAUAGUAUACAAUCAGUUGUGUAGAGAACACAUUUGAGCAAACUUCUCAAUAACAAGUCACCACAAGGAGAGGCAGCUACAGCUGGGUCCGAUUCCCAGGAGUCAUCCUGGAACGGGAAUUCUGAAAACUGAGAGGCAACAUCUGCACGAUGUUUGUCCCAAAAGUAUCCUCAGGGGAGAGGGACCGCACAUGGGAAGGCUUCUGGAGAGCAAAGAAAGACGUGGACCCUUUCAGCUGUUAGAGAAACACAAAACAGGGGUUGGGGGAGGGGGCAUCAUUAUGAGAGUUAACAUUACUUGUUUGGGGAAAGGAACCCUUGAAAAAUAAGAUCAGACAGAAGAAGAAAUCCCACCAAAAUACACAGGAAUGGAAUGAUGAAAUAGGAAGAAUGCCCAAAGGAGUACACAUGGAGAAGAACCCUUGUAGAAACCAUCAGACAUAGUGAGACACGUUUAUACAAACAUUGUGGAAAGACCCAGGUGAUGGUUUCUUGGUUUGGUUUGAGCUAACAUGACCAAAGAAAUGCUGGUAUGAAUUGGGGAGGUCUAGGGCUUGAACCUACAGGGAAGUGCUGAAGGAGAAGAAACAAGUCCACAGGAUAGGAAAAUAGCACUCCUAGGGUGCCUUUCCAAAUUAAAAUCAGCCACUUUUAUGAAUCACUAUUAAGACAAAAUCCAGUGACAUCAUCUAAAAUUUUGGCAAAUCCUUACAAUCUGGUUUGACAGACUUAGGGGAAGUGAUUUCAUCACAAAACCAGGAACUAUUUUCAACAGCUGGAAAAAAACAACAACCUAAGUAAAAAGCACUGUAAAAAUAAAGUGACAGAGACAACAAUAAAAGCCAUUGAGUAAGGCGUUGGAAAGCAUGACACAGAAAGUAAAACAGAGAAAGGGAAGGCAGCAGAAGUGAAAAUAGGAAGCCAGGUCAUUUGGGGAAAAUUGGGUAGUUUCUAGCCAUCUACAUCCCAAACAUGCUGCAGAAAGCUCCCCACCCACCCUUCCCAGAAGCUAAAAAUCCUUUCUCAUAGAUCUCUUCCCCCACUCACUCAUUCCCAUUCAUUCAUCAAUAGUUUCAAAGGUUACUCUUCCUUUUUAUUUGACACACAAUAAUUGUACAGAAUGACAAGGUGCUUUCUGAUCAUUUGAUGCAUGCGUGCAAUGUACACUGAGCAAAUUGGGCUAAUGAAGCCAACUAUGGUUGAACACACCUGUAAACCUAUUAUUCAGGCUAAGUCAGGAGGAUUACUGUGAUGUUGAAGCCAACAUGUUUUACACCAACAUACCAAGUACAUGCAUAGACAUACAUGGGUAACUAGAAUUUCUAUCUCAAAAUUUAAGCAUUUGCCUGUGUUGAGACCCAUAGGUUCUUCUCUUUGAGCUCUUUACAGAACAGAUAAUAAAUGUCUUAACAGUUGCCAUCUUAAAAUGCUAUAUAUAAAAUACUAGAACUUACGUCUCUUAUCUAACUGCGUAUCUUAUUUCCAACCUCCCAUUGUCCUCAUUCCCCACUUCCCUCCCUACCCCCUACAGAUGAGCACUCUACGUUCUUCUGUGCUUUCAGCUUACACACUGCUCACUGUUCUGCUGAUGCUGGCUUACGUCAUUUACUAUAACUUUCAGUUUUAUUCAUAUCGCUCCAAAUAGCAAGCUUCUAUCUUUUUUUUGUGGUUGAAUACUUUGGUUUAGUAUAAAGUUUUCUUUAUCCAUUUAUCCAUAUGCGGACAACUAAGUUGAUUCUGUAUUAUGUUUAAAUAUUUAUUCAAUAAAUUCAUUUUAUUUACCUUUUUUUUCCUGUCAUAGUUCCACUCUAUCCUUCUCAAGACUCCUCCUCCUAAUUCCCUUUCCCACAUCCUUAUGCUUGUUUUGUUUUGUGACCCAUUGAGUUUAACUAAGGCCAUUUGUGUGACCAUUAGAGUAGAAAUGUCCACUGGAGCCUGGUAGGCUCAUCAAUGGGUAUACACUAGCAUGAGUUGGUAUCUUCUGGUUUGUACUUCCAGAACCUUGAAAAAUCAGUGAUGAGAGUUUUGCAUAGCUGAUGAUUCUUUGUGUAUAUGCUUUUAAGUUAAAUGCAUGUAGGUCUUUUGUACAUUUUUAAUUUGAUUAUUCUGUUGGCCAAUCUGUUUAAAUCCCUAUAAAGUCAAGAUAUUAAUCUCUUAUUGGACAGUUUGCAAAGAAUGUCUCAUAUUCUGUUUAUUUUUUCCUUAGCUAUGUAGAAAGCCUUAGUUUGAUAUAAUCCUCUUUAAAUACUUUGGUUUUUGUUUACUGUGUUUUAAAACUAUUAUUCAAAUAGUAUUACCUAUACCAAUUAUUCUUACUUAUUAUCACUCCACUGUCG
rnacentral:lncRNA from 1 species